rnacentral:tRNA from 1 species
AGGGAUGUAGUUAAUCAUAACAUUUGGUUUGCAUCCAAAAAGUACUAUUUUAUAGUCUUCCUUA